GUAGUAUUCCCUCCGUCCCAAAAUUCUUGUCUUACAUUUGUUUAGAUACAGAUGUAUCUAACACUAAAAUGUAACUAGAUACAUUCGUAUUUAGACAAAUUUAAGACAAGAAUUUUGGGAUGGAGGGAGUACAAA
rnacentral:pre_miRNA from 1 species